rnacentral:rRNA from 1 species
UGCAGUCGAGCGGUAACAGAUCUAGCUUGCUAGAUGCUGACGAGCGGCGGACGGGUGAGUAACGCGUAGGAAACUGCCGAGUAGUGGGGGAUAGCCCAGAGAAAUUUGGAUUAAUACCGCAUACGCCCUACGGGGGAAAGGAGGGGAUCUUCGGACCUUUCGCUAUUCGAUGUGCCUGCGUGAGAUUAGCUUGUUGGUGAGGUAAAGGCUCACCAAGGCGACGAUCUCUAGCUGGUUUGAGAGGAUGAUCAGCCACACUGGGACUGAGACACGGCCCAGACUCCUACGGGAGGCAGCAGUGGGGAAUAUUGGACAAUGGGCGCAAGCCUGAUCCAGCCAUGCCGCGUGAGUGAUGAAGGCCUUAGGGUUGUAAAGCUCUUUCAGCGAGGAGGAUAAUGACGUUACUCGCAGAAGAAGCCCCGGCUAACUUCGUGCCAGCAGCCGCGGUAAUACGAAGGGGGCUAGCGUUGUUCGGAAUCACUGGGCGUAAAGCGCACGUAGGCGGAUUGGUCAGUUAGGGGUGAAAUCCCAGAGCUCAACUCUGGAACUGCCUUUAAUACUGCCAGUCUUGAGUCCGAGAGAGGUGAGUGGAACUCCGAGUGUAGAGGUGAAAUUCGUAGAUAUUCGGA